GCUCAGAUUGAACGCUGGCGGCAUGCUUUACACAUGCAAGUCGAACGGCAGCGAGGAGAAGCUUGCUUCUCUGUCGGCGAGUGGCGAACGGGUGAGUAUAGCAUCGGAACGUGCCAAGUAGUGGGGGAUAACCAAACGAAAGUUUGGCUAAUACCGCGUAAGCUCCAAGGAGGAAAGUAGGGGACCUAAAUAAGGCCUUACGCUAUUUGAUCGGCCGAUGUCGGAUUAGUUAGUUGGUGGGGUAAUGGCUCACCAAGGCAAUGAUCCGUAGCGGGUCUGAGAGGACGAUCCGCCACACUGGGACUGAGACACGGCCCAGACUCCUACGGGAGGCAGCAGUGGGGAAUUUUGGACAAUGGGGGAAACCCUGAUCCAGCCAUGCCGCGUGUAUGAAGAAGGCCUUAGGGUUGUAAAGUACUUUUGUUAGGGAAGAAAAGCUAGUUUUUAAUAAAAAUUAGUGAUGACGGUACCUAAAGAAUAAGCACCGGCUAACUACGUGCCAGCAGCCGCGGUAAUACGUAGGGUGCAAGCGUUAAUCGGAAUUAUUGGGCGUAAAGCGAGUGCAGACGGUUACUUAAGCCAGAUGUGAAAUCCCCAAGCUUAACUUGGGACGUGCAUUUGGAACUGGGUGACUAGAGUGUGUCAGAGGGAGGUAGAAUUCCACAUGUAGCGGUGGAAUGCGUAGAGAUGUGGAGGAAUACCGAUGGCGAAGGCAGCCUCCUGGGAUAACACUGACGUUGAGGCUCGAAAGCGUGGGGAGCAAACAGGAUUAGAU
rnacentral:rRNA from 1 species